AGUGGGGGGCCUAUAUAAUGUUGUGGGUGAUCAGUGUAUAGAAAAAGGAGAGCAUGUGGUCUGCAUGACUUAAGAGAUCAUCAUUCAGAACUAUCACAUGGUUCUUCAUACCGAAUUCUGAGCAGAGAAUGAUGCGAUUGAACCUAAGAUCAUCCAGUGUUCAUAUGAGUUAGCUAACAAAACGCAGAGAAGAAUGACAAAGUCAAUCCUUUGAUGUAAUGACUGCAUAGCCUUGCUACAGAGGGAAGGCAUUUCUUAAAACUGAAACAAAAGAUUUUUUCAUCAAAUGGAGUCUGGAAAGAUUUAUUUACUUUUUUUAUCUAGCCAUACUCCAGGAUAUUGAAAUUCCUGCAGAGAAGGAUGUCAUCAAACUCUCCUUGAAAACAAAUCUCACCAGGAUAUUUCUUGUUUGUAUUUAUUUAAAAACAUCAAGCAUGCAUCAAAAGCCGCUGUUCACUGUUUGGUUUUUUCGUUACUAAUAUAUGUCUGUGAAUGUGUAGCUGUGCAUGUUCUAGGAUGCAUGUUGGAUGUUGAAUGUUGCAUGUUUUUAUGUCUUGUAGCCCACAAACGGUUCAGACGCAGCAUUCGUUCUCGCAGAAAGUCUCCUAACCCUCCUGGUUCUCCAGGUGACUACUCACGUGCAUGUUGUAAAUGUAUGUAUGUGUGUAUUAGAAAACAGUAGAAUAGACUUUUUUUUUCUUCUUUUUUUUUUAAUUUAAUUAGAGUUAGGAUUAUGUUAAUGAGCACAUUCGCUUUCAGCUUUUCCAACUGGAUUCGGACGGUCGCUUUUUCCACCUCCUGGCAUGGAUUCAGCAAAAACCCAGAAUCCUUCAAUGCCUCAGUUUAUCAACUGCAACGUCUCUGGAAUAUUUUCCACAUCAGGUGAUUACUUUUGGAUACCUAUAAAAGUGGAAGUCAACAAGGACAUGUCGUCCACACAAGGUGGC